GCCCUGGUGGCACAAUGGUGAAGUGCUUGGCUGCUAACUAAAAGGCUGGUAGUUCAAAUCCACCCAAUGGCU
rnacentral:tRNA from 1 species